AGACGGAGGGUCCUAGCGUUGUUCGGAAUGACUGGGCGUAAAGGGUACGUAGGCGGUUUGGUCAGUUAGAUGUGAAAGCCCAGGGCUCAACCUUGGAACUGCAUUUAAUACUGCCAAACUAGAGAUCGGAAGAGGAAAGCGGAAUUUCUAGUGUAGAGGUGAAAUUCGUAGAUAUUAGAAGGAACAUCAGAGGCGAAGGCGGCUUUCUGGUCCGAUACUGACGCUGAGGUACGAAAGCGUGGGGAGCAAACAGGAUUAGAAACCCUAGUAGUCC
rnacentral:rRNA from 1 species